GACGAACGCUGGCGGCGUGCUUAACACAUGCAAGUCGAACGGAAAGGCCCUGCUUUUGUGGGGUGCUCGAGUGGCGAACGGGUGAGUAACACGUGAGUAACCUGCCCUUGACUUUGGGAUAACUUCAGGAAACUGGGGCUAAUACCGGAUAGGAGCUCCUGCUGCAUGGUGGGGGUUGGAAAGUUUCGGCGGUUGGGGAUGGACUCGCGGCUUAUCAGCUUGUUGGUGGGGUAGUGGCUUACCAAGGCUUUGACGGGUAGCCGGCCUGAGAGGGUGACCGGCCACAUUGGUACUGAGAUACGGCCCAGACUCCUACGGGAGGCAGCAGUGGGGAAUAUUGCACAAUGGGCGGAAGCCUGAUGCAGCAACGCCGCGUGCGGGAUGACGGCCUGCGGGUUGUAAACCGCUUUCGCCUGUGACGAAGCGUGAGUGACGGUAAUGGGUAAAGAAGCACCGGCUAACUACGUG
rnacentral:rRNA from 1 species